GAUGAACGCUAGCUACAGGCUUAACACAUGCAAGUCGAGGGGCAGCAUGAACUUAGCUUGCUAAGUUUGAUGGCGACCGGCGCACGGGUGAGUAACACGUAUCCAACCUUCCGUUUACUCAGGGAUAGCCUUUCGAAAGAAAGAUUAAUACCUGAUAGUAUGGUGAGAUUGCAUGAUAACACCAUUAAAGAUUUAUUGGUAAACGAUGGGGAUGCGUUCCAUUAGGUAGUAGGCGGGGUAACGGCCCACCUAGCCUGCGAUGGAUAGGGGUUCUGAGAGGAAGGUCCCCCACAUUGGAACUGAGACACGGUCCAAACUCCUACGGGAGGCAGCAGUGAGGAAUAUUGGUCAAAUGGGCGAGAGCCUGAACCAGCCAAGUAGCGUGAAGGAUGAAGGUCCUACGGAUUGUAAACUUCUUUUAUACGGGGAAUAAAAGUUUCCUACGUGUAGGAUUUUGUAUGUACCGUAUGAAUAAGCAUCGGCUAACUCCGUGCCAGCAG
rnacentral:rRNA from 1 species